GGAGGUGUGGCUGAGUGGUUUAAAGCAACGGUCUUGAAAACCGUCGAAGGGGAAACUCUUCCGUGAGUUCGAAUCUCACCGCCUCCGCCA
rnacentral:tRNA from 1 species